rnacentral:RNase_P_RNA from 1 species
AGUUGAGGUGAGGAACGUCCGAGCACCAUAGGGCAGAGCGCCGGGUAACGCCCGGCGGAGGCGACUCCAGGGAAAGUGCAACAGAAAUAUACCGCAGCUUUGGCUGUAAGGAUGGAAAGGCGAGGUAAGAGCUCACCGGAGCCAUUGGUAACUUUGGCUUCCUGUAAACCCCGUUCGGUGCAAGAUUGAUAUAGGAGCAUUUAAUAGCGGCCCGCUAAGCUUCGUGUAAUCGCUAGAACCUGCUGGCAACUUCAGGUCGAGAUAGAUGGUCAUAUAAACAGAACUCGGCGUAUGAGCCGUCUCGA